UUUAAUACACAGUAUUUUGGCCAUCUUUGAUUGGCAUUCCACACGGCUAGCAGAGGAAUUCAGAGUUGGUCACAGUUUCCCAUAGGAGGGAACGCACGAUUAACGAAGGAGGGGCAGCGUAAGAAAGGUUUUGGGGUAUGUGUUUCUGAAAAUUGCAAGGCAGUGUCAGGAAUCAAACAGUUUAGAUGCCUUGUCUUUGCUUCCACAUUUUGCAGACAUGCCUAACAUGCAGGCACAAAGGGUGGAAUCUGGACCUUACGCCAGGUGUAGAAGACUUGUCUCAUAAUGGCACUGCAAAGCCCUUUCUUGCAGCUUUCAACACCAGGUAUCAUUCAUAUUGCAACAACUGGAAUGAAUUUCAAAAUCAGCUCCUCAAAGUUUUGCAGUCAUUAAACCUACUACAUGGCGUGAUUAGCCUACAAAUGUGAACAAUUCUACAAAACAUUUACACAGAUGCCAUGGAUCAAGAUACAGAAGAUGUAAAUAUGGUUGGGGCUGUGAAAACAAACAAGUUUGUUUUUCACUGCAUUAUUAUUUUGUCACCUAUCAAAGGAAUGAAUAUAAGGUGCAGUCUUUGAUCAUCUGAAUGUCUUCACGAAUGUUUUAUAUGAUUGUGUGAAUGCAGUCAAGUGAUCUGUGCCAAGACAUAAAACAGAGCAAGUGUUGGAAUUCACGCACACAUUUCAAGUGGCAAGCCCAUAAGUAAUGUCUACAUAAGAGAAAAGGAUGAUAAAUGAGUAAGUUAUGUGUGCCCAGGUCUGAAUCAGCAAAGAUUGAGUUUGGGCAUGAAUGUCUAAUGGCUUAGCCAACUCCAAGUUCCUCUGGCAUGUUUUAUUGCCGGUCCAAUCAUCAGCAACUUCCUCCCAUGUUUUGAAGUCGGAAAACAAAUCCAAAAUCCCUUCCCAAUAGAUAGGAACGAGUGAUAGGGUUUAGCCACCGUUUACCUCUGCCAAAGUGUCUACGACAUGCAACGAGUGUGUCUGAUUUGAACAGGGAAGUUUUUAAGUGUAAAGGCUACUGUUUAGGGCCUGCUUCAGUCAGAUCUAUGGGGAUUAGUCAUCAUUUCAGCAUGUUUUCAACCCCUAAUAACCAUGGAUUUUCAAAUACAGCAGUAGUUUAGAUACCUUCUUCAUUGCAAAUUUCGUGGUGGCUUCCAUAUUUUUGUUGUUAAUUUCAUCAAGUCUCAAGUUACAAUUUUGGAAUUCUUCAGAAAACAUGAUGGAUUGUAGUACAGAUAUUGUUUCAACUUUCAAACUUCCCAAGGACAUUCAUGUGCAAGUUACUAGUUUUAGCAGUAAUCAUAUCUGGCUACAAUUAUUCUCGAUGUUAUAUUCCAAGGCUCCAAGCAAUGGAUAAGGAUCUAUUUUAGACUUUUUUA